CUCACCUGGAUUUACCAUUGCUUUCCAGCACUUGAUCCAACCCUUCCCUUCACCUCUUUAUGCUGCACCCGAAACAUUUCCUUCCAUGCAUGCUACCUGACGCACUGAAUUGUCCCAGAUGUUCGUUCGAGGCCACAGAUGAUUUACGUAAUCCGAGAAGUUUGAACUCGCCUUGAAUUUAUCUAACAACUAGUAGUGCGUGCCGUUGAUUUACUGCAGCGAUGGAACAGCUCUUGGUUCUCAUCGGGAUUUUAAUUAUUUUAAUACCCAUUCAGAAAUGCCUUAGGUAUUUCCUACUUACCAAAUGGUAUGGGUUACCAAAUUCUUUCUUCACUUCCAUGGGAGAAUGGGCAGUUAUCACUGGUGCAACAGAUGGUAUUGGAAAAGCAUAUGCACAUGAGUUGGCCAAGCGUGGUUUAAACAUAUUACUCAUAAGCAGGUCUACAGAGAAGUUACAAAAGGUUGCAGGUGAAAUUGAGCAAGCCACAGGAAGAAAUGUAAAAAUAAUUCAGGCAAACUUUAUUAAUACAGACAUUUAUCAACACAUUGAAAAAAAUCUGAGAGGCCUUGAUAUUGGGAUCCUAAUAAAUAAUGUUGGAAUAAUGCAGGAACCAUUCCUAUGUAAAUUUCUCGAUAUGAAUGACCUGGAUAAGACCAUCAAUGAUAUGAUUUCUGUUAAUAUGGUAUCUGUGGUCAAGAUGACUCAACUUGUCCUGCCAAAGAUGAGAGAACGACGAAAGGGUUUGAUCCUGAACAUUUCAUCUGGAGUUGCUAAUUACCCAAGUCCUCUCUUCUGUCUGUACUCAUCUACUAAGAUCUUUGUUGAAAGAUUUUCGAGAGGCUGUCAAGCAGAAUAUGGAUCAAAGGAUGUUAUUAUACAGUGUGUAAUGCCCUACGGUGUGGCUAGUCAAAUGUCAAAAGUUGAUCCUGGAUUGACAAUUCAGAGCGCUGAACAAUUUGCAAGAGAAUCGUUGAACUGUGCCCUGCUUGGGGAUCGAAGUAGUGGGUGUCUGAUGCAUGAACUACAGGCCAUUUGUUUCAGAGCAAUCCCUCAAUGGAUUACUUUCAAUGAUGCAGUUCAGGAGCAACUGAUGGGGUUAACAAAGAAAGGUACUGCUCAAAGCAAAACUGAAGCCAGAUGAGCAUCCUUCAUCCACUGUUACAUAUAGAUCAAAUCAACAUUAUUACAAAUUAUAGCUACAUUGAACAAUAUUUGCUCUAUUUUAUCUGACAUAUUUUUUCUUAAUUAUUCAUGGGUUGUUAUUAUCACUGGUAUGUUUAUUUCUUUUCUAGAUAAUCUAAUCUAAUCUAAUCUAUUGCCCUUGAACUGAUUGAUUUGGCUGGAAAUUUCUGUGGAAAAUUAACAGUGAAAUAGCCUGACCUGACAACAAUGACUGAUUUCUUCUUUUGAGAUAGCUGCAUGUCCUCGAGGGCUAAACGCUUCUACCCUGGAACUGUUAUAAGAAUUGGAAAACCAUAGUAAAGAUAUGUUGGAAAUGGAAGCAACGUUUUCAGUGCUUUCGUGGCAUUCUCAGGAUAUUUAGCCUUGACGUUGAUCCAUAAUGCCAGCAGAGAUGUUAUGUCAAACAUACUUUUCAGCCCGCCGUCAUUUGCAAGCUCGAGGAGUUGAUCUUCUUCCCACGCUGAAAUGGAUGACGCGCAGCCGCACCAACCAAGAAUGGAGCUUAAAUAUAGCAAUACAAAAAACCCCAACAAUCAGACAACAAAGUGCAAACUAUGCCAGAUGGAAAAUAAGUCCAGAACCAGUCUAUUGGCUCAGGGUGUCUGACCUUCCAUGGGAGGAGCUGCACGUUCGAUGGCCACAGGCAGGAACGACCUCCCAUGCCGCCAAGUAUUGUAUCACGGUGGAAUGUGGCCAAAGCCCAACAGUAAAAAGUUCAAUAUCCAGUCUGCAAACACGUUCCUCAAUCGUGAUAUACCCCGGAUUGCACCAUCUGUUGUUAGCCAGAACAAUGCUGCCUGACCCAUUGUGUUCCUCCAGCUCCUUCGUCUGCUGCUCCAGGUUUCUGGCAUCCGAAUUCUCUUGAGUCUCCAUGGAAGAUCUGUCCCCUACAAAGAUCCUACCCUUGCUGGAGUAGGGAGAGAGGGAAGUAGUGCCUUCAUCUGAAGUGAAAUGCCUGCCACUGCAUUGCAACACUAAUGGACACUAAAAUUGUGCAAAAGUCUGAUUUUAGAUAAAUACUUGAAAAGACGAUAACUUACAGAGGAAAGGCUAAACACCGUUUGUUUGAAGCUUUCAAGAACCACCUCAGGCUGGAUGGGCCAGAUAUACUCUUGUAUUAGGACUUUUUUGGAAAUAGUAUUAACCCUUCAUAUAAAAGGCAGGAGAAGAUCUGUAGCAAGAAUUGUGGGGUUGUGGGGUGGGGCCAAUGUGUGUUAAAGAUCUAGGUAUAUGAAACAUGGGGACAAUGACCACAUCAUGUUCUUUUUUGUUGCUAUACUUUAGUGGAUUCGUCUUCAACUGGAAUGGGACAAUUAUAAAGACUUUUAAAUUAGGUACCGUUGUGGAGUUGAAAAUCUGAUAUCAAGUUUCUGUUCCUGAUUCCUGGUGAAUUGGAUGAGGGAACUGCUGAUCCCACAAUAAAGUUCCUUUUCCAAGUCUCCUUGCAGGUCAAGAAGAAAUGAUUCCCUAUCUCCAACUUCCCAUGCCAAUGGCAUGAAGGUUAGUAUGUGAAUUGGCCACUGUAAGUUGCCCCUAGUCUGCAGGUGAGUGAUAGAAUUUAGAGGAAUUCGAUGAGAAUGCAGGGAAAUCAAUGUGGGGUUAGAGCACAUUAGUGUAAAAGUGGGUGGUUGAGGGUUUGGGUGGACUUGGUGGCCUCUUUCCAUUCUAUAUAUCUCCACAAAAUAAUAGAAAAGGCAAUCAGUCCUCUUUGGCACUCCUUUCCCCAGCAAAUUCCAAUCCCAGUAAAUCACACGAGCUCGAAACUCAUAAGAAUUCUUUCAGCCUUAUAAACGUAUCUCAACCAGGAACUUCAAGAAGUUGCCCAGCUCUGUCACUUCCUAUGAGGAGGCCCCAUGUUUCCCAAGGUUUUGCAUAAUCUGAGGAAUGAAGCCAAGCCCAGCAGGUUUAGCUGGCCACCACCCGAAUCCCCCUCAAGGUUCUGCCAUCCCACUGGUCCUCUUUCUGUCCUCAGUAUUUUACGGCCGUUAUUUAUCCAGUCUGAAAUGGAAUGAUUUCCAGAAACAAUUGGAAUCUAAGUGCUUUGAUAACAUUGGAAAAAAGAGAAAGGAUCAUCAUUUAAAGUCAGACUAUAGAUUCCGCAGAUGUUGAAAAUCUUGAGCAACAGACAUAAAAUGCCGCAGAAACCCAGCAUUGAUCAAGAGGAACAAACAAUGUUUAUCAUUUAAAGUGGUUCAUCCAGAGUUACGGAAUUAAAGAAGUGCUGCAACUCAGGAGGUGGUUAUCCUGUCCAUAUACUGGAUCCCGGAUGGGCCACUCUAUCAGCCCCAUUCUCCUGUUCCUUUCCCAAUACAAUUUAUUUUUCCACAAACUACUCAAUUCCGUUUGAAAACCUUGAUUGGUUCAAAUAUGGUAGUGGGAUGGGAACACUGUGGGGACAGUACAGGCUCAGCUGGUUGAAUGGCAACCUCUCUGUCACAAUGAAAUAUGAUAUAUAUGAGAAAUAUGAAAGGAGGCUCUGUUUUCACUACAGCCACAGCCAAUGAGUUUUGCUUUUGAUGAUCAAGGUUCCUCUGGAGUCAUUUGCCUUCUGAGCCAGAAGCUGAGCAGACACAGUGUAUUGUAAGCACGUACUGUAAGAACAUCAGAAACAAUGGCAGGCAUGAGCCAGUCAGCCCAUCCCUUGUAAUCUGUUCUGCCCUAUCCCUUGUAAUUGAAAGAUCUGCCAUUCUCUGUCUUAAGAUAAUCAAUGACUUUGUCACUACAACUCCCUGAGGACAGAGAAUGCCGAAGACUUACAACCCUCUGAAUGAAGAAAUUCUUGUAUAUGUCCAACUGAAAUGGACUAUCACUUAUGGCACUGAGUUCUGUAUAUCUGCACCAAAGGACACCCCCCCAGCCCGCCAGGAUUGGAACAAUCAGAACCAGGUUUAUUAUGCCUUGUCAUAUGUGGUGAAAUUGGUUGUGUUGAGGCAGUUGUGCAGUGCAAGACAUAAAAUUUACUAUAAUUUACAACAGAAAUAAAUAAUAAACAGUCCAAAGAGGGAACAGUGAGGUUAAGUUCAUGGGUUCAUGAAUCUUUCAGUAUACAUCUUGUCAAUUUCCCACAGCAUCUUCCAUGUUUCCAUAGGGACACCUCACAUCCUGCUAAACUCUUCCAGAACUGUUGCAGAAGAACACACGCCCCCACCUCGUGAAGACAGAAGGCAGACCAGAGGAAGUUGAUCAGAAUUAUCUUUCUGCUGAAUGUUUAGUAUUGGUGGAAACUUCGCAGAACAGCGCUAUUUUACUAAAAAAGGUUUACAAGAAGCAGGCAUCUGGCAAGUAUAGUAUGAGUUCAUACUCCAGCCUAAAUUGCCAUUAACAAACAUGGGCAAAAAGAGGGAAUAAGAGAGAAAACUAAAUGGUCUAUUAGUAACUGCACCGUGUUCCUUAGAGUCAUGAAUGAAGAUUAUUUAUUUAAAUUGAUGUUUCUGUACUAAUCUUCCUUUCAAAGUCCUCUUUUAUGUGGAAGAACAUUAA